UUUCUGCUCUCGCAGGGUCGGGAGGAGGUCGCCGGUGACGUGGGAGAAGGGGAGGGCGGCGGCAGCGGCGGACUCUGGUGUCUACGCCACCGAGCGCCACCGUCGCUCUUCUCCUCUGCCGGCCACCGGCUCUGUAGCAUGAUGAAGGGGAAGGGCAUCCUCAAGCCGAGGCGCCUAGGAUGCGGCAGCAAGGACGGCGACAAGGGUUGUGCAGCGGCCUCCUAGGAUUCGGUGGAGAUAGCGUGGCGGCGGUGGACCAACGGAGGCCGCGCCACAGGCAGAGCGGGGUGGAGGCGGUCCAGGUGGCCAGCUGCGUGUUCCCGCCUUCCCUCCGCAGCGCUGGCUUCACGCACUGCAGGAGGAGCGCCACGUCCAAGUUGCCCUCGCCUGCAAUUCCCCCGGCCCCCGCAGAGACUAGGAGGCAGCAAAUCAUGAGACGCAUCAUCGAUCUCAUCUGCUUGCUUGAAUUGCGUUGGGGCAGAGCAUGUGAACACACUGGACUGGAGCAGUGGAGUGAAAGAGUGUGCAAGUGAAUCGAGUGAGAACCACUCUUAAUACUCAAGGGAGGGAAGUGAUGACUGAUUGACUGCUCCCUCUACUGCUGCUCGUUCGUUCCGCCGACGAUGGAUCUGCAGCGCCUCGAUCCAGGGCAGCCGCCCCGGCUGCUUCGACCUUACGAGCAACUUUUUGGAGCGCCGCGUCGUUGGCCAUCACCCACAUCUGUCUCUCUCUGGAAUGGCGCUCUCCACGUCGUCGGUGAGGGCGGCGACGCGCCGACGACACACCGCUCGGUGCCCGCGGGCCUCCUCCGCUCCCAACCUCAUCUACUCCCGCGUAGUGGCCGAGAUCCAAGAGCGGCACCGGCGCGCCUCCGCCUCCAGAUGGUCGACGUCGACCGCCGCCCGCCGUCUCUGUUGCCUCUGCAUACACGGCUGCCCCCACCACCCCGCACAUCCUUGCUCACCUCACCACCGUCGGGGUCCACGACAGUGAGCUCAGGGACCGCUUCCACGUCGGCGUCGGCGUCCAACGGCCGCGGCGAUGACAGCGGCAGGCGACCCUCGGCCGGCCGUGUGCCACCGGUCUCCCCCUGCCGCCGCCCGUCUUCGCCCAGCGACCUCCUCCGACCCGUCGGCAGCCAGCACAGAGGAGAAAUGUGUGUGAGAGAGAGAGAGAGAGGAGGAAGUUAGAUAGAGGAGGGGAUGACAUGGCAUACUGAUAUGUGGGGCUCACGCUGACUUAGCCGCCACGUCGGAUAAAACCGGGGUUAAAAUCACCGAAUGACUUAAAUUAAACGAUUUUAUAAGUUGAGGGACACUGGAUAUCUGGUUUUACCGUUGGGGGAUGAUUUUGUAACUCGAUGACAAGUUGAGGGACCUUGGGUGUACCUUUUCCUAUCGUGGGUCCCCGUCGCAAACAUCGUAAGACAGGUGCAUCCGCAUCGAUCUGGACCACGCAGUUUACAUCCGACGGCUCAAGCGAAUCCCAUGAUAGGAUUAGGGAAAAAGUACACCGAAGGUCCCUCAACUUGUCAUCGAGUUAUAAAAUCGUCCCCCAACCACAAAACCAGAUAUCGGACGUCCCUCAACUAAUAACCGUUCACUAUAGAUCCUCCGGUGGUUUUGACCCCGAUUUUAUCUGACGUGGCUGUUGAGUCAGCGUGGAACCCACGUGAGUCCCACAUGUCAUAAUGCCAGGUCAUCUCUCUCCCCCUCUUCUCUCCCUUCCUCAUCUCUCACUUCUCUCCAAUUUGAUGGCGACGCGGGCGACGCGGCUGCAGUGAUGGCGGCGGCGGGCGACGGGAGGAGCUGCGGGCGGAGCGGGCGGCGGCGGGCGACGGGAGGAGCUGCGGGCGGGCGGCGGGGGGAGGAGCAGCGCGCGGCGGGCGGAGUGGGCGGGCGGCGGGCGGAGCGGCUGCGGCAGAUGCACCCGCAGCACGGGCCUGCCGGAGGACCAGGCGACGGUGCGGGGAGCGGCCGGCCGGCGGAGCAGACGGGGCGCGGGCGUGCAGCAGAUGACCGGGCGUGCGGCAGACGGCGGAGGUUGGCGUCGGCGUGGGCGAAGCGAAUGACCGGGUGGGACUCGCGGGCGGCGAUGUCGACGCCGCGGAGGUGGACGCGACGCGGUCGGGGUAGGCCCAGUGGUCGAGACGGUAGAAGAAGAGCGGCAUGGGGUGGCGGGAGCAAUGGCGCUGGUGCCUGGUGGUCGCGGUGGAAGGCGUCCGUGGCGAUGAGGUCGUGCAGACGCCGCUGCAGCAGGCCACCUCGGCGGCCUGCUUGCAAUCAAAAUAACAAAGCCAUGGUGGCAGCGAUGGUCUACAUGGUGAUGUGCCUUCACUAGAUUAUGUUGUAGAAGAUACAGUAAGUCUGAAUAUAAGCAAGCAGUCUUGCAAUUAUUCCUUCAUUCAGUUACUUAUGAAAUAUAUUAUUAUCUUCAAACAAGAUGUACUUCUUGGUAAAAUUGUGCUUGAGAAUCCAGGGGUCCUCUGUUUUCUUCUUGGUCACUCCACUGGGGGAGCUGUUGUUUUGAAGGUAUGCCUUGUAACAAUAAGUAGUUUUUCUCUGCUCUAUUUAGGCGAGGUUUAGAAACUGACCCUACUCCUUUGGGCCUGUGAAUAAUGGAUAAUUGGAUAUCCUGACGGGCAGAGCAAUGGUGCAAAGCAUUAACAAAAUAGCCUGGUUGAAAACUUGAAAUGGUUUGGCUGCAGAUAUGUUCAUUUUACAUGCUUCAUAUUCUUCUUUCCCUUGUGCUUGUCAGUAGCUGGUAUUUUCCAGGCAUCAUUGUUCCCUCAUAUCAGAGCAAAACUGGAAGGCAUCAUCCUAACUUCACCAGCGCUGCAGCGGGCGACCUCGGCGGCUGGCCGUUUGCCGCCACAGCCUGGUUGCCUCCGUUCGCCGCCGCAGCCUGGUCGACUCCGUUCGCCGCCGGCUCCUGGUCGCCAUGCUCCUCAACGGCGCGAGGAUCAUCGACGGCUGCUACAUGGCGAGACGCGGCCCCGCCGCCAUCGGCAUCCCCCCGUCGAGCGGCGCGCGAUGGAGGAAGCCGUCGCCGGCGACUCUGCUCAGCGGAAAGAGGAGAAGAAGAAGGCCGCCACAGCGGCGGCAACGAGGAUGCGGGCGGAGGGCGCGACGCCGGCCGCCGGACCUCCUCCUCUCACCUCCCUCCCGGCUGCGCGCGGUGGAGAAAGCCGCCGCUGGCGACUCCGCCUAGCGGAAAGAAGCGAAGAAGAAGGACGCCGGCCGCCGGACCUCUGCCUCCCCGCCCCCGCGGGGGCCUCCUCCCCAGUCCCCACCCGUCGGCCACCCUGCCGCCUGGCCAGAUGAGCACAGCGAGAGAAAGAAGAGGCGAAAUAAGAGAGAAGUGAUGAGGUGGCAUCUGACACGUGGGUCUGCUGACUCAACCGUCACGUCACAUAAAACCAACCACCGAAGUAAACGGUUUUGUUAAGUUGAGGGAUGUGAUAUAUC